UACGGAGGAUCCGAGCGUUAUCCGGAUUUAUUGGGUUUAAAGGGUGCGUAGGCGGCCCGUUAAGUCAGGGGUGAAAGACGGUAGCUCAACUAUCGCAGUGCCUUUGAUACUGGCGGGCUUGAAUGCACUAGAGGUAGGCGGAAUGAGACAAGUAGCGGUGAAAUGCAUAGAUAUGUCGCAGAACACCGAUUGCGAAGGCAGCUUACUAGAGUUCUAUUGACGCUGAGGCACGAAAGCGUGGGGAUCAAACAGG
rnacentral:rRNA from 1 species